UACGUAGGGUGCAAGCGUUAAUCGGAAUUACUGGGCGUAAAGCGUGCGCAGGCGGUUGUGCAAGACCGAUGUGAAAUCCCCGGGCUUAACCUGGGAACUGCAUUUGUGACUGCACGACUAGAAUCUGGCAGAGGGGGGUAGAAUUCCAUGUGUAGCAGUGAAAUGCGUAGAUAUGUGGAGGAAUACCGAUGGCGAAGGCAGCCCCCUGGGCUAAGAUUGACGCCCAUGCACGAAAGCGUGGGGAGCAAACAGG
rnacentral:rRNA from 1 species